rnacentral:rRNA from 1 species
AAAGGGAGGUAAAGGUUGUCGCUGGUCCUCUUUUUGCGAGGGGGACAUGUUGCACGCCUCCAACUCCUUCUUUCAUGUGGAUCUGAUUCUCUCUCACACCUGUGCACCUAUUGUAGAUUCUUCUCUCCUGCGAGGGAGAGCGAGCAUCUAUGUCUUUCAUACACACUACCGUAUGUCUAUAGAAUGUCUUGCAAUGUUGGGCUGGCUAUGCCUUGCCAUGGUCGGUGCAAUAAAAAUACUAUGAAACAACUUUCAGCAACGGAUCUCUUGGCUCUCGCAUCGAUGAAGAACGCAGCGAAUUGYGAUAAGUAAUGUGAAUUGCAGAUUUUCCGUGAAUCAUCGAAUCUUUGAACGCACCUUGCGCUCCUUGGUAUUCCGAGGAGCAUGCCUGUUUGAGUGUCAUUGAAUUUCUCAACCAUGCCUUGAUUGACUUUGAGUGCAUGGCUUGGACGGAUGGGGGUUGCUGGCAGCAUGAGCUGUCGGCUCUCCUGAAAUGCAUUAGCAGAGGUGAAGCGCUCUCGUGCACGGCCUUUCGACRUGAUAAUGAUCGUCGUGGCUGGAGCGAGGUGCAAGACAUCCUUGCUUCCAACUCUGAACUUUCCUGCUUGUCAGGAAUUCUUUGAAACUUGACCUCAAAUCAGGUAGGACUACCCGCUGAACUUAAGCAUAUCAUAA